GAUGAAGAACGCAGCGAAAUGCGAUAAGUAAUGUGAAUUGCAGAAUCCAGUGAAUCAUCGAAUCUUUGAACGCACAUUGCGCCCGCCAGUAUUCUGGCGGGCAUGCCUGUCCGAGCGUCAUUUCAACCAUCAAGCCCCAGGCUUGUGUUGGGGACCUGCGUCCGACGCAGGCCCUGAAAACCAGUGGCGGGCUCGCUGUCCACACCGAGCGUAGUAACUAACCUCGCUACGGGAGCGGCGCGGGCGCCUGCCGUAAAACCCCCAAUUUUCACAAGGUUGACCUCGGAUCAGGUAGGAAUACCCGCUGAACUUAAGCAUAUCAAAAGCGGAGGA
rnacentral:misc_RNA from 1 species